GACGAACGCUGGCGGCGUGCUUAACACAUGCAAGUCGAGCGGUAAGGCCCUUUCGGGGGUACACGAGCGGCGAACGGGUGAGUAACACGUGGGUGACCUGCCCUCAGCUCUGGGAUAAGCCUGGGAAACGUGGGUCUAAUACUGGAUAUGACUCCACGGUGCAUGUCGUGGGGUGGAAAGCCUUGUGCGGCUGAGGAUGGGCCCGCGGCCUAUCAGCUUGUUGGUGGGGUGAGGCCUACCAAGGCGACGACGGGUAGCCGGCCUGAGAGGGCGACCGGCCACACUGGGACUGAGACACGGCCCAGACUCCUACGGGAGGCAGCAGUGGGGAAUCUUGCGCAAUGGGCGAAAGCCUGACGCAGCGACG
rnacentral:rRNA from 1 species